rnacentral:rRNA from 1 species
GAUGAACGCUGGCGGCGUGCCUAAUACAUGCAAGUCGAGCGAACAGACGAGGAGCUUGCUCCUCUGACGUUAGCGGCGGACGGGUGAGUAACACGUGGAUAACCUACCUAUAAGACUGGGAUAACUUCGGGAAACCGGAGCUAAUACCGGAUAAUAUAUUGAACCGCAUGGUUCAAUAGUGAAAGACGGUUUUGCUGUCACUUAUAGAUGGAUCCGCGCCGCAUUAGCUAGUUGGUAAGGUAACGGCUUACCAAGGCAACGAUGCGUAGCCGACCUGAGAGGGGGACCGGCCCAACGGGACUGAGGAACCGGUCCAGACCCCUACGGGAGGCGGAGUUAGGAAAUCUCCCGAAUGGGGCGAAAGCCGGACGGAGCAAGGCCGGGGGGGGGAGGAGGUUCUUCGGUUCGUAAAACUCGUUUAUUGGGGAAAAACAAAUGUGUAAGAAACUAUGAAGGUCUGGAGGGUACCUAAUCAGAAGGCCCCGGCUACCUACGU